rnacentral:rRNA from 1 species
GAAUGUUUCCAUUAAUCAAGAACGAAAGUUAGAGGUUCGAAGGCGAUCAGAUACCGCCCUAGUUCUAACCAUAAACGAUGCCAGCCAGCGAUCCGGCUGUGUUCCUCAAAUGACACGCCGGGCAGCUUCCGGGAAACCAAAGCUUUUGGGUUCCGGGGGGAGUAUGGUUGCAAAGCUGAAACUUAAAGGAAUUGACGGAAGCGCACACAAUGGAAUGGGGCCUGCGGCUUAAUUUGACUCAACACGGGACAACACACCCGGCCCGGACAUAGGAAGGAUUGACAGAUUGAGAGCUCUUUCUUGAUUCUAUGAUAGGUGGUGCACGGCCGUUUCUGGUUGGUGGAGUGAUUUGUCUGCUUUAUUGCGUUAACGAGCGAGACUCUAGCCUACUAAAUAGACGCUCCGAUCCUUCUGAGUCGGACGU